rnacentral:rRNA from 1 species
GAUGAACGCUGGCGGCGUGCCUAAUACAUGCAAGUCGAGCGAACAGACGAGGAGCUUGCUCCUCUGACGUUAGCGGCGGACGGGUGAGUAACACGUGGAUAACCUACCUAUAAGACUGGGAUAACUUCGGGAAACCGGAGCUAAUACCGGAUAACAUGUUGAACCGCAUGGUUCAACAGUGAAAGACGGUCUUGCUGUCACUUAUAGAUGGAUCCGCGCCGCAUUAGCUAGUUGGUAAGGUAACGGCUUACCAAGGCAACGAUGCGUAGCCGACCUGAGAGGGUGAUCGGCCACACUAGAACUGAGACACGGUCCAGACUCCUACGGGAGGCAGCAGUAGGGAAUCUUCCGCAAUGGGCGAAAGCCUGACGGAGCAACGCCGCGUGAGUGAAGAAGGUCUUCGGAUCGUAAAACUCUGUUAUUAGGGAAGAACAAAUGUGUAAGUAACUAUGCACGUCUUGACGGUACCUAAUCAGAAAGCCACGGCUAACUACGUG